rnacentral:rRNA from 1 species
AACAGGAUUAGAUACCCUGGUAGUCCACGCCCUAAACGAUGUCUACUAGUUGUUGGUGGAGUAAAAUCCAUGAGUAACGCAGCUAACGCGUGAAGUAGACCGCCUGGGGAGUACGGUCGCAAGAUUAAAACUCAAAUGAAUUGACGGGGGCCCGCACAAGCGGUGGAUUAUGUGGAUUAAUUCGAUGCAACGCGAAAAACCUUACCUGGCCUUGACAUGUAACGAACUUUCCAGAGAUGGAUUGGUGCUCGAAAGAGAACGUUAACACAGGUGCUGCAUGGCUGUCGUCAGCUCGUGUCGUGAGAUGUUGGGUUAAGUCCCGCAACGAGCGCAACCCUUGCCAAUAAUUGCCAUUAUUUAGUUGGGCACUUUAUUGGGACUGCCGAUGACAAAUCGGAGGAAGGUGGGGAUGACGUCAAGUCCUCAUGGCCCUUAUGGCCAGGGCUUCACACGUAAUACAAUGGUCGGUACAGAGGGUUGCCAAGCCGCAAGGUGGAGCCAAUCCCAGAAAGCCGAUCGUAGUCCGGAUUGAGGUCUGCAACUCGACCUCAUGAAGUCGGAAUCGCUAGUAAUCGCGGAUCAGCAUGUCGCGGUGAAUACGUUCCCGGGCCUUGUACACACCGCCCGUCACACCAUGGGAGUGGGUUUUACCAGAAGUAGGUAGUCUAACCGCAAGGAGGACGCUUACCACGGUAGUAUUCAUGACUGGGGUGAAGUCGUAACAAGGUAACC